rnacentral:lncRNA from 1 species
UCUUUCUCCAACAUGGAUAUAAAACUAAAUCUCUUAUGAUUGUUUGCAACCUUGUAAAAAGGAAUUUAGGUAUCCUUUUUCUUUGAUAUCCAACUCUUAUAUCUUAUUUAAAAGUUUGGAUUUCGAGGCCCUUGUACUGCUAAAGGAAACUGAUUGGCUCAAUUCUCUUUAAUAAAAAUCCAUCUAAAAACGGUAUAUUUC